AUUUUAGCUAUUAAUGUAAACAUAAUCACACAUUAACUCGUGACAGUAAAUUACAGAUUUGUAUUUUUAUUUUCUUUUAUAAACCCGUUCAUACGUUUAUUCAUAUGCUUCAUUAGAGAUGUAGUGAAGCGUCGCGUUCAUUUCCUGUUUGGACCGGAAGUAGAUUCUGCACAUGAGAAGACACAUGUGGAUCUGUCAGAAGCUGCUGUUGAUCGAAAGGUGAAGGAGGCGCUUCCUGGACCGGCGCAGACGCCUCUACAUAACCUGAAAUCGGGAGACCGGGUGAAGUGAAGCGGUGAAGUACUUCAGAAGAAAGAGCCGGAACACCAGACGGUGGCUGGGACCUUUCCAGGUGCUCCUGACAACGCAGACUGCUGUGAAUGUCGCAGAGAGAGCCACGUGGAUUCACGCCAGCCAGAGCAAACGAGUGCCAGACCCGGAACAGGGGUUGAUGGGAGACGGGGAAAGUGAGAACACUUCACAUAGGAACUCUGGUGUCGCUGGACCUCGUGAGGUGGGAGAAGGGCGUCGUUUAGGUGCUUAAGUCGCACCUGCCCUUCAAGCACCAAUAACGUCAAGAAUAGGAAAGGAGUCACCAGACCAGAUCUAGAACAAACAGGAGACCCGCUCCGAUCCACCUGACGACACACAACCUGAGAAGGAUACGUUGAUUUAAGUAGUUCAGCGUUGAAUUAUGUUGUAACGAGUUUCGCUGAGAAUAUUCACGAUAUUAACCUUCUCUUGAGCAGAUUCUAUCAAAAUGUAUCUUCAUUGUUCUUUUUCAAUGUUGAAGAAUCUCUUCUACAUUUGUUUUGCCUCCUUCUCCAAGUCUUUUUGAUCAGAAGUUACUGUUUUUAUUCCUUUUUUGUAAAAACAUUGUACAGUUGACUGAAGCUGCUAUUAUUCUUUAAGAUUUGCACUCUUGUUUUCACGAUUUCCCCCAAAAUGUGCUGAUCUGACCAAUCACAGUCCAGAAAAUCUACACUUGUGUAAAAAAUGAUCAUUUUCGAUGAUGCAGGUGCAGUACACAGAACCCCCUCUUGCCCCCAGACCUUACAGAACUCCUGCACUCUGUGUGUCAUCCUGCAAUGCACAAACUCAAUCUUCAGUCCGGCCUUCAAAAGAGUUCUAAUGCGCUGUUCUGGAUUCAGUGUUCCCCUGACUAGCAGUUUAUUUUUCUCAUAAGCAGGUAGCUAGUUUGGCUUGGCCUAUUAUAACAUUAACUGUGCAGAUUGUCUGUCCACAGAUAAUCAGAUGAUGAGGCCGGAGUGAGCCUGGAUUAGUGCACUUCAAAGAACUCAGUUCAGACUUUACCUGAAAAUCAGUCACACACACACACACUUCAACACAGCAGUAUUUACACAUUUUCUUUCAUUUCUACCUCAAAUAAACCCCAAUAUUCUCCUACACAUCAUUAUGUAGUUCACUUAACAUAGUGUACGAGACACUACACAAAAUAAAAUCCUUUUACAGAGAAAUGUAGAUAAAUAACACAUAUUUAGUUCAUACACUAGUGCACUACAAAACCCUGCCUUUCCUGAUCACCCUACAAUGUGCACUUUAACAUCGAGUCAUUUGGGACUUGUACGAGUUUCUGUUAAAAACACCGGUAAAGUGUUAAAGAGGCUCCUGUAACUUUAACUUUAAUUUUGAUGUAUUUAGUAAACAUAAGGAAACAAGUUGUAAAUCUACAUUUGUGACUUAAAUUUAAAACACCAUUGAUCCAGCAUCAUAAGCAGCUCGACUCAACACUAAAUGCUUAGUAGUUGAUCCUGGUACAAUCUGUACAAGUUCUGUAAAAGUUCCCACCAGAACCUCCACUCUCCUCCACUUCUCCUUUUCCUGCUGUCUCUGUAGACGUCUUCCUCCUCUCCUUCUCCUCCUUUGGCCAACAGUAGCCUAAUUUCCACUGGUACCCUGUAGGCUAACGAUACCUGUGGGGGUCGUUGGUAACCAGGGCCUCGAUCGAUCCGGUAUGAAUUUCUCUUUCGUGAUCCAGAUAUUUGAUUUGGAAGGAUGCACUUCCUUACGCAACCCUCCCCAUUUACCCGGGCUUGGGACCGCCGCUAAGAGUGCACUGGCUUGUGCAACCCUAUAUAUGUUUAUGUGUGUGUGUGUGUGUGUGUGUGUGUGUGUGUGUGUGUGUAGCUGGCCAAAUGUAUAGGAGACAGCAUUCAUAUUGUGCAUCACUGGGACUUUCCUGUCAGCAUGUGCUGUGUCUUGAUAAUCUCUUUUCAGAGAACUGCUGUACACAUACUGUAGUCUGUGCAGCACAAUUCUGUGUAUCUGUGCAUCACUCUCCUUUAUGGACAAAGUAACCCAGCAUUUAACCACGCACAUUUUAGUUACGCUUCAAAGCAAAACGCCUUCAAAUGAACAUGUUAAUGAUUAAAUUACAACAAUUACAAAUAUAACAGUAGUAAUAAAGAAACAGGAACAAAAAAAGAAAUUGUAAUAACAAUUGUAACUGUAAUGUAAAGAAAAUUUGAUUACAACAAACUAGUCCUGUCUGAAUAGGGCUUUAGUGUGUGUGUAGAACUCGCUGUAUAGCUGAAAUCAAAACACAAUAAAUGUACAAAAAAUGUGAAAAGUUACAAUUAUUAUAUCUGCUGUCAUUAUAAUAUGUGGGGGGGUGUGUGUGUGUGUGUGAGUGAGUGUCUGUGUGUAUAUGUAUAUCAACCUAACUGUUCAAGCUGACUGAGAUUUUAGCCAGAAAUCAUCUCUUUUUUGUUUCUCCUCGAAUUUUCCAAAAGCCAGGUAGAGGUUUUCCUCAAUCUACUCCAAACCAAAAAACUCUGUGUCUCUCUCGUACACUUUUCUCACGUGAGCAGUGUAUCUGUGUGCAUCCUUGAAGCGAGCGUAUUUGAUCAGUUCUUCAGGUCUGGGUGAACCAUUACAAGUGCAGAGGCGUUAAAGACCUCAACUGGAUAUGAGUUCCAAAACCAAAAGUAGUAGUAAAUAACACAGUAAUAUAUGACUUUUGAGCACACGUGGUUGGGAAAUAUCAAUAGUUACAUUCAUUUUAGCUUUGAUUCGUUUGUUUGAAGAACCAAAAAAAGAUUGCAGCCUGAUGAUCUGUUUUCCAUUCGGUCACAUUUUCAUGAGUCAUUUUUAAAGGUAAACUUUGUUCAGUUUUUCUCUGCAUUUGAUCUGAUCACCUCCUGCUUGGUAUCACUGACCUGAUCUUUAAAUUUUAUGCUCUAAUUACUGAUCAGCCCACUGUUAAUUACUCUACCUGAACAUGUAUAUGUAUAUAGAAUCAUGUAUCAUUUUGCAAGCUUGUGCAAGGUACAUGUACCGAGCCAAUGAAAUGCAGUUAGCAUCUAACCAGAAGUCCAGAAGCCUAUUUACAAUAAAUAGCUGUGUGAUAAAUAAGGGUAUAGGGUCUAUACAGUAUGUAUGGGGUGAGGGUGAAUCUCUGAAAUGUCCUUAGGUGACCAGUGAUUCCGCCCUGUAAUGUCAUAUUGACCAGUUCAAUGAAGUAAACAAUAAUAAAAGUGUUGAUGAUA